AGAGUUUGAUCCUGGCUCAGAGCGAACGUUAGCGGGAGGCUUAACACAUGCAAGUCGAGCGAGAACAGGGACUUCGGUCCCUUAGUAAAGCGGCGGACGGGUGAGUAACACGUGGAUAAUCUGCCCUUUGGCGGGGGACAACAAUUCGAAAGGAUUGCUAAUACCGCAUAAGUCUAGUGAGCCUCAGGGUUCAUUAGGGAAAGAUGGCCUCUUCUUGAAAGCCGUCACCGAAGGAUGAGUCCGCGUAGCAUCAGCUUGUUGGUGGGGUAAUGGCCUACCAAGGCAAAGACGCUUAGCUGGUCUGAGAGGAUGAUCAGCCACACUGGGACUGAGAUACGGCCCAGACUCCUACGGGAGGCAGCAGUGGGGAAUAUUGGACAAUGGGCGCAAGCCUGAUCCAGCCAUCCCGCGUGAGUGAUGAAGGCUUUCGGGUUGUAAAGCACUUUCAGUUGUGAGGAAAGGGUUGUAGUUAAUAACUGCAGUCUGUGACGUUAACAACAGAAGAAGCACCGGCUAACUUCGUGCCAGCAGCCGCGGUAAUACGAGGGGUGCAAUCGUUAAUCGGAAUUACUAGGCGUAAAGCGUUCGUAGGCGGUUUGUUAAGCAAGAUGUGAAAGGCCACCCGGGCUCAACCUGGGAACUGCAUUUUGAACUGGCAAGCUAGAGUACUGUAGAGGGUGGUGGAAUUUCCAGUGUAGCGGUGAAAUGCGUAGAGAUUGGAAGGAACAUCAGUGGCGAAGGCGGCCACCUGGACAGAUACUGACGCUGAGGAACGAAAGCGUGGGGAGAGCAACAGGAUUAGAUACCCUGGUAGUCCACGCCGUAAACGAUGUCAACUAGCCGUUUGUGGACUUGAUCCGUGAGUGGCGCAGCUAACGCACUAAGUUGACCGCCUGGGGAGUACGGCCGCAAGGUUAAAACUCAGAUGAAUGAAUUGACGGGGGCCCGCACAAGCGGUGGAGCAUGUGGUUUAAUUCGACGCAACGCGAAGAACCUUACCUACUCUUGACAUCCAGAGAACUCGCUAGAGAUAGCUUGGUGCCUUCGGGAACUCUGUGACAGGUGCUGCAUGGCUGUCGUCAGCUCGUGUUGUGAAAUGUUGGGUUAAGUCCCGUAACGAGCGCAACCCUUGUCCUUAUUUGCCAGCACGUAAUGGUGGGAACUCUAAGGAGACUGCCGGUGACAAACCGGAGGAAGGCGGGGACGACGUCAAGUCAUCAUGGCCCUUACGAGUAGGGCUACACACGUGCUACAAUGGCCAGUACAGAGGGCUGCAAACCUGCGAAGGUAAGCUAAUCUCAGAAAGCUGGUCGUAGUCCGGAUUGGAGUCUGCAACUCGACUCCAUGAAGUCGGAAUCGCUAGUAAUCGCGAAUCAGAAUGUCGCGGUGAAUACGUUCCCGGGCCUUGUACACACCGCCCGUCACACCAUGGGAGUGGAUUGCACCAGAAGUAGCUAGCUUAACCUUCGGGAUGGCGGUUACCACGGUGUGGUUCAUGACUGGGGUGAAGUCGAAACAAGGUAGCC
rnacentral:rRNA from 1 species